rnacentral:lncRNA from 1 species
GAAUUGCUGAAGUUGUGAAGGUUGAUGCUGUGAAUGCGCUCGGUCAUCCCCUUGCAACUGAUGUCACCUGCAGCAUGUCAACGCAGACACAAAACAGGGCAUGGGUCAGAUCUAGCUGGUUGCAUUCCUAACACCUAGGUUUCAGAGUAAAAAUACAGAGUCAGCUUGUGAUGGCAUUCCCUCAAAACAUGGAAGGAAUUGCAGUAAUGAAAGUCAUCAUGUAUUCUAAGAGACUGUUCUGCGAGAGCACAACACAGACGGGGCUAAAGCAGGGAUUGUCUAAGCCCAGUGUGGAGGAACCAUCAAGGAUUUCAGCACGUUUUUUUAGCCAUUGUGAGAAGCAAAAGUGCUCAGGAGUUAAGAGAAGCAGACGUCCGAAAUUAUCUCCAUGCAUUACCAAAAACCGUGGGCACCACGGCACGGGGAAAACUUACCAGGUACAAUGAGCCAGUGACUGUUACUGAAUUUCUUAAGAUUACACUUUUCCCAACUACUGCAGACUGCUUCAGAAUAGAAGAAGACAACUCUCAUGCCAUCAAGCCGACGGACUUUCAAAAAAAUAAAAGAUGCAUUUCUUUACUUGGCCCAUGAGAAGUAAAAGCAGGCACUGGCAUUCUGCACAGAUGAAAUACUUCCUACGACAGGAAUACAUGCUCACUUGUGGACUUCUCUGUAAUCUGUAGGCAACAUCAGCUCCUGAUUUCUAGGUCUGGAUCUGGGUUCUCUGUAGCACAGGAAGCAUAGUUACUCUGUGAUGAAGAAAAACUCAGAAAACUAUCCAGAUGUGGGAAUUUCUCGGGUAUUCCUUGCACUUGAACUUAAGGAUGAAUGAAGGUAUAUACAAGUCUCUACUUCUCCUACAUAAAUGCCUUGCAUGGCGGGAACUAAAUCAACUACACAGACCCAUACAUCCAGAGAGCAGAGGUGAGCUGGAUACAAGUGGCUUAGAGAUGUGGUGGAAGGAGGCCAGAGCUCCAAGGGAAGGGCAGCAAGGAGACAACAGCAUGGGUUGCAGCUCAGACAACAGGUAAAUAAAACCAAGCAAAGCUGCUGGUCACAGAUUUGACCAGGGUGGCAAGAAAUGACAAGCUACCAUGAGAUUCAACAGUGGCACGGAAGGAUGAUGAGAAGCAAACAGAUUAGGAGAAGCUGCCACCACCGUACAUAGAGGCACAGAUGACCAAGCAGAACAGCACCAGUCCCUGCAAGGUGUGCUCAGAUACAGCUCAGCACAGCCAUCUGGCCAGGAGGGAAUGAUAAUGCACAUGGUGUGCACUGCAGCCGGGAAGUUGAGAACCGCUGUGGGCACCUCAGGACUGAGUCUGGUUACCCUGCUGAUCCAAGAAAUGAAGCCAUCUAAAAUUUUGCCUGCUUUCACAAUUUUCUGUGUGUGUGUGUGUGUAUUAAACAAAGUGAACUAAGAAGC